AUACGGAGGGUGCGAGCGUUGUUCGGAAUAAUUGGGCGUAAAGAGCAUGUAGGCGGUCUGUUAAGUCUGGUGUGAAAGCCCGGGGCUCAACCCCGGAAGUGCAUUGGAUACUGGCAGACUUGAGUAUGGGAGAGGAAAGCGGAAUUCCGAGUAUAGGAGUGAAAUCCGUAGAUAUUCGGAGGAACACCAGUGGCGAAGGAGGCUUUCUGGACCAAUACUGACGCUGAGAUGCGAAAGCGUGGGGAGCAAACAGGAUUAGAAACCCCGGUAGUCC
rnacentral:rRNA from 1 species